CUGCCCCUCCUCCUCAGUGUAUAGCCAGGAGGCUGCAGUUGGACCCACCAUCACCUACUAGAACUCAGAGAAUGAGGAUCAGCUGACAAAGUGAGGAGCUAAUGAUGUCCAAGCACCAGACUCUGCAGAAGGAAAUCACAGCGAUCUGGACCAGAUAACAUACAGCAUGUCCCAGUGCAGAAAUCCUCCAGGUGAAUUUGCCGUGAUGGUAUUUGCUGUAACGCCGUUUGAUGUUCUGUGCGAUCCAUUGUACUGAGUAGACACGAGGAUAUACAACCCGACAAGUCACCUAAGGACAUGACACUUCCAUCAACAAGAAAAGUGAGGAUCGAGUUGAAAGGAAGUAGAGACACAAACCACAAAUCCACUGAGGAACAACUUAACAAGUGAGAUGUGUAGGUGAUACGGGAACUGUUAUAGACACUAUAAGGCAGUAUUUCCUAGUGGGCCUCCAGCUGUUGC